GUUGUGGCUCAGUGGUACAGCACUUGCCUUGCACACAGGAUGCACUGGGUUCGAUCCUGAGCAUAUA
rnacentral:tRNA from 1 species